AAUUCUCAACUACCUUUUAGCAUUUUAUGUUAAGGUGAAGUUGGAGUUGGAGGAUAAUUGCUGGCGCAACUUAGGUUGCUUGUUGGCUCCUCUUGAAUGGAUGAGCUUUUCUGAUGGAUCAUGGCUCAGUAACACUAAUGUGAUAAUUAUCUAUGUUAGAUGUGAAAGCUAUGAGUAGAGUAACUUCAAUUAUGGAGGAGCUCCUAUAGAAAAGGUGUAUCUUAGGGAUGAAACCCUUGACUUUGACAA
rnacentral:misc_RNA from 1 species